rnacentral:miRNA from 1 species
ACAGGGAUUACAGGGCUCUGA